GACGAACGCUGGCGGCGUGCUUAACACAUGCAAGUCGAACGGAAAGGCCCUGCUUUUGUGGGGUGCUCGAGUGGCGAACGGGUGAGUAACACGUGAGUAACCUGCCCUUGACUUUGGGAUAACUUCAGGAAACUGGGGCUAAUACCGGAUAGGAGCUCCUGCUGCAUGGUGGGGGUUGGAAAGUUUCGGCGGUUGGGGAUGGACUCGCGGCUUAUCAGCUUGUUGGUGGGGUAGUGGCUUACCAAGGCUUUGACGGGUAGCCGGCCUGAGAGGGUGACCGGCAACAUUGGGACUGAGCGAGGCCCAAGACUCCUACGGGAGGCAGCAGGGGGAAAUAUGGCACAGUGGGCGGAAGCGUGAGGCAGCGACGCGGCGGGCGGAAUGACGGCCUUCGGGUGAAAAACCGCUUUCGCCGGUGACGAAGCGGGAGUGACGGUAAUGGGUAAAAAAGCACCGGCUAACUACGUG
rnacentral:rRNA from 1 species